rnacentral:rRNA from 1 species
CCUACGGGUGGCUGCAGUGAGGAAUCUUCCACAAUGGACGAAAGUCUGAUGGAGCGACACCGCGUGAAGGAUGAAGGCCUAACGGUUGUAAACUUCUUUUCUGAAGGAGCAUAAUGAGAGUACUUCAGGAAUAAGGGACGGCUAAAUACGUGCCAGCAGCCGCGGUAAUACGUAUGUCUCGAGCGUUACCCGGAAUCACUGGGUGUAAAGGGUUCGUAGGCGGUUUAAUAAGUUGGAUAUGAAAGACCGGAGCUCAACUUCGUGUUUGUCUUCAAAACUGUUAAACUAGAAUCAGGGAGAGGUAAGUAGAAUUCUAAGUGUAGGGGUGCAAUCCGUAGAUACUUAGAGGAAUACCAAAAGCGAAGGCAACUUACUGGAACUGUAUUGACGCUGAGGAACGAAAGCGUGGGUAGCGAAAAGGAUUAGAUACCCUAGUAGUC